UGCUGCUAUGUGCUGCUACCUACGCAAUCCUAUUCUGUCAUCUCCGCUUAUAGAUCCCACUCAUUUUUUAAGUUGCAGGUAGUUUUAAUUUUCAUCAUCCUCUAACUCUCAGUAGAUCUCUCUCUCUCUCUCUCUCAUGACGAUAUCCUCAAUGUUCCUCUCCUUCUCUUCUCUCCCCCGUCCAUCAUCUCUUCCUCCAUUUCCAUCUCCAUUCAUCUCUCCCCAAAACUCCCCCUUCUUCAACACCUCCAUCGUCCUCUCUCUCAAUCCCCCACAAGAAAGAGUCCCACCACAAGAGCUUUCACAGGCUAGCAAUAAUACAAAGAAGCCAUCAAAGACAAGGACCUCGCCCAAACACUUCGCUUCUUGAAAUCCGUCAAAUCCCUUCCCCUCCAAUCCUCUCUCGAUGGCGACAGCAGCAGCGCCGGUCUUUUGCAGCUACAGUGGCCAAAGAGGGACUGGGAAGUGCUCGACACUUGCUUGAAUGCCGAUGACAUGAAGCUUGUCAGCAGCGCCUAAAAGUUCCCCCAUUACAGGGGCUUCCUCCCUGAUAUUGGGAAGUGCAAGAACAUCAGUGGAAACAUGACGAAAUCCAGACAGCUUUUCCAGCAGCCUCAAUGUGGAUGCUCAUAGUCAAACGGAUUGAUCAAAGAGAUUAAUUUUAGAGUGGGAUGUUAAAAGAAAAGCAGAUGGAAGGUUUGAAUGCAGUUGGAAUCACCCUGCCAUUGACCCUACUUGUACAAAUUGAGGCUAUCAUGUACUAUUCUUUCCAAGGAUCAUAUACAAUCUAGAUCAUCAGAUAAUGUGCUUGGUGGUAACGCAUGAGAUAGGCGACCCGAAUCACGUUAUUAUCUAUAAUAUGAUCAAAUGGGAGGGUCUCAUCAGUCUUAGUUCUUACA